CCCAUCCCUGUCCCCACAUCCCUGUCCCUGCAUCCCCAUCCCCAUGGGGCAGCGAGCUGUGCCCCACGGCUGUAACCGCCGGCGUCACACCACAAUGCACCGAAACAACCGACCCCAGUUCUCACCAACACAUUCACGCACCGCCACACCACACCGCGCUGCAAAGUGCUGAGGAGAUUCGGCCUCGUUACACCCCCGAGCCACCGACGUUUUGCAGGCAGAGAGGCUGUUUAGCAGCCUUUAAUUAAAAAGGCACCGAGCUCGCAUUCCCCCCCUUCCCCAUAACUGUGGUAACUCGAAGAGCAUCAAACCAGACCCCCGCUCUCCCCAGGGAGCCACAAAACAUAACCCUGCAAUUCCCCGCCUGACUCCGUCACCCCGCGGCCUGAAAGUAAAUGCAGAAUCCCAUCGGCCGGCCCGAGGGCAGGGAGCACCGGCCUGGAAAGGAUUUUAGGGGUAAAGCUCAGAAAUGGGGCGCAGGAUGCCGGGUUUCCUGCCUCUCUCCGUGGGGGGAGCACCAUCCAGUGAGUCGACGACGACGAGAGGAAGGAAAUCGCCAGUUCUGGGAUACGCUGCGGAGAUGCUGCACGGGGUCGUCUGCCCCCGGCCCCCUGCCAGGCUCAAUUAAAGCAGCAUUUGGGAAACUUUGGAGCUUCUGGAGCGCCGAGCGCUGGGGCAGGAGGAGGAUUAUAGCUGGGGGUUCAAGGUGCCAGCUGCACCGCUGGCCCGGCGCCAGGCCGCGCUCCUCCCGGCUACCCGGGCGAGCUAACCCACGCAGCCGCCCGGGGAGGGAGGAGGUUUGACUUGGGCUUUUCAUGCUGUUCGAGCGACGCGUUCAAAGUCUUCCUUCCCUACCACUGGAGACCAUCUGGGCACUCCACCAUCCAGAAGAAAUUAAUGCUUUUGAGCAAAAAUUUGACUUCCAUUCAGAGGCUGUACCUGUGCCAGCCGGAGCCGGCCAAAGAGCCGGAGGCGGGGAGCGGGGAGAGCUGGGCGCCGGCAGCUUUAGGAGCGAAGGGUCAGCGCUUUUGGCAGCGUGGGCAGAGCGGGGGGGACCUGGCAGUCAGGCACUGCCCAACCCCACGCAGGAGCCUGCUCAAAAGCAGGUUUCCAAAUGCAGGUCGCCCGGUGAUGCCCCCAGCGGGUCGGUCUCCCCGCGGGUCUUCCAUCAACGCGCUACAAGACGCUGGAGGCGGCGCAGGGGAGAGGGCGGCUGCCCGCGGCUCUCCAGGGGCUAAAGCUGGGCCGUGCAGGGGGUGAGGACGGGCUCAGGGCGGGAGACCCUCCCCGCGGGACCCAGCUCACGGAGCGGGAGGCGGAUGUGGCAGGUGCCCUUGUCCACGCAGGCAGCGGGAUCACCCGGGGAGGAGCAGGGAGGUGAAGAGGGGAAAAGAACCCAGCGAGGACAAAAGGGACAGCAGGGAGGGAGAGGAAGGGGCUCCGGAGCAGGGCCCGUGGCAGGACCAAAGCCUCAGAGCACUUUCCCCGACCUCCGGGAGAGGGUGGGCAGCGCGUCGGACACGUCUUGGAUGGGGAGGAACAGCAAAAAAAAAAACCAACGCGAAAAAGACUCGCCGUCACUGUCACUCUUCAGAGAGAGAGAAAAAAUGAAAUCUCCUGCUAAUUGGGCACCUCCUCUUGAUUUUGGGGGAGGGAGGGGAUCUGAGUCCCCCUUGUUUCAAGCUCCGGGGACCCUGGCAAAGCCUCCUCCGCUCUCUGCCGCCUGGGCUGGGGACUGAGGAUGGAGGAUGGAGAACUAGAGAGCGAGCGAUCGCGGCCAGGAUCUGAGAUCAGAGAGAAGGAAUGUUGUUAUGGAGAGGCUGAAAGCUCGGGGUGGGGAUGACUCAUGCUGGAGAACAUACAGCUGUUGGGAGCGGGAUUUGGCACCGGCUGGGCCGAGGCUGCGGAGCCUUCCCCAUUAGCAGCGAAGGGAGAGAGGAGCCUCCGCGCCGUCUCCGAUCUGGCAGAGGCAUCUGCCAACCUGGGCUGGAGGUGAUGGGGAGGGGAACGGCGCCUGCCAAAGCGGGGUCACGGCCCCGGAGCGGUAUUUUGGGGCAGCAGGCAGGGCUUAGAAGCGAGUUUUCUUGGCUUGGGACCUGCAGGGGCUUUUUCUGCUUUGGGCUGGGGGCGGCGAUGCUGCCCUGGGGAAGGGGGGAGUCGGAGCAGCGGGGAUGGGAUGGGGCUGGAUGGGUCAGCUCCGGGGCUGCAGCCGUGGAGAAGGACAAGGUGUGAAGCAGACAUCCCUCUCCUUUCUCUAGUAACGGGGAAACUGAGGCACAGAGCGGGGACGGGAUGUAUUCCCACCAAAAAAAGAAAAAGCCUCGUGGCGGCUGGCGCUCACCGCUGCAUCCCUGGUCCAUGGUCCCGCGCUCCUUGUGCUGGGAAGAGGCAUUUGGUGGCUGGAAGCCACUCUUCUGGCUGAGGAGUCACACCACCGUCCCUUCCUGGGCUGCUGGCAGGGCACGAGGGCUUCCAUCUUCCAUCCAGCUUCCAUCCAUCUUCCAUCUGCUUCCACCCAGCUGGAGAUGCCGUAGCAGCUUCCCCAAAAUUCCCAAGUUUGCUGCAGAGAGAAGGGGAAAACCCCUUCCCCCCACGCAGUGAAGCCAAGGCAGGUGGGGAAGGAGGUUUGAGCAAGGCAUGAGGCGCAGGAGGAUGAGCCAGCACCUUCCCAAAGGCCCUUUCCGAGCGAUUUUUUUGGUAUCACGCCUGGAAAUAACCCCAGCGCCAGGUUCCCAGCGCCGUGGGAUAAAAAGCUCCAUGGGCUGCUUCGGAGGUGGCUCCGUUUCAGUGUGAUUUAUCAUCCCGAUUCCCAAACUUUGUCCUGCGCUGCACGGAUCGUACUGUACUGCGCGACGCCGUAUUUUAUCCUCUUCCCAGCAGUACCCGUGCUGGAGACAAGGUGGGAUCUGAUUUACGGGAUCUCUCCUCUGCUGCCAUGGAAAGCAAUUCCUCCUCGCCUGACCAGGCUCCCGGGUCGUGGAGCUCCGGCUCAAGAAUUAUUCCUUCCGUACAAACAAACCCAAAAAGAAACGUUUUCCAGUUGAAGGGAACAGCAAGCCCGUGACCCCAGGCCAAAACGCAGCUCUGCGAAGCUUUACCCAACUGAAAGACGGCAGAAACACAUCCACGCUUGACAGAAAAUAUUUGGGAAGAUAACAUUGCCUGCUGCACUUACAUUCCUCAUGCUCCGGCAGCCGCUGGGGGAGAAGAGGAGGAAGAAGAGGAGGAGGAGUGAGACGCCGCAGACACAGGACCCGCACUCGCCAGAAGCCACUUGGCCACCGCGUUUCCAGCUCCGACGAGGCAGCGUGAGCACGAGCUGGGGGGGAGGAAACCGUGCGUCGAAGCGGGUUUUAAUCCCCCCCCUCAGUGUCUGUGAAGCAGAACGCGUGCUGGGUGCGAUGAACGGAACAGGGAGCUCGAGGGAAGGUGCUGGCUCCCGUCGCGUACGUACCCACCACCUCGGCAGAUGGCUGGGCUGCGGGUCGGUGCCUUCAUUUUAAGCCACCAGAAGCAUUAAAGCGCUGUUUGGGGUUUGUUGGGUUCUUUUGCCCUGGAGUAGCUGCGUCUGGCCAUCGCUUCGUUUGCUGGGUCACGUACGGGAUCGAGAUCCUGAUGGCAGGAGGGGACCAUCUAGGAAGGGUUACCCCAAAAUGCACCAAAAGACUUGUCCUCCUAGGUCUUUGCCAGAUUUCAGAGCGGUUCCCGCAUCAAAAUAUUUUGUCAUUUCGGUUAUAUUCUAAAUUACUAAGCAUUAGCGCUCGCUAAUGUCGAAGGGAAGAAAAAUAAAAGCUGGGGUGAAGCGCUUCAGCUGGAGCUGGGAUGGGAUAUUUCACAGAAA